AACGCGAAGAACCUUACCCGGGCUUGAACUGCCAGCGGACGAUACAGAGAUGUUGAGGCCCUUCGGGGCGCUGGCGGAGGUGCUGCAUGGUUGUCGUCAGCUCGUGCCGUGAGGUGUCGGCUUAAGUGCCAUAACGAGCGCAACCCCUCUCCGUAGUUGCCAUCAGGUGAUGCUGGGCACUCUGCGGACACUGCCACCGCAAGGUGUGAGGAAGGUGGGGACGACGUCAAAUCAGCACGGCCCUUACGUCCGGGGCUACACACGUGUUACAAUGGGGGGUACAGAGCGCCGGCUUGCCGCAAGGAGAGUCCAAUCGCCAAAGUCAUCCUCAGUUCGGACUGGGGUCUGCAACCCGACUCCACGAAGCUGGAUUCGCUAGUAAUCGCGCAUCAGCCAUGGCGCGGUGAAUACGUUCCCGGGUCUUGUACACACGC
rnacentral:rRNA from 1 species